AUGUUUUUUUAACAACCAAUUGUUCAUGCAACUCUGGACUAGAAUAAUGGUUAAAUAAAGUCAUAUUCACAUGAACGAUUGUAAAAUUUGAAUCCCUAACAUUGCUAGUAAGUUUCGUCCGAAGUUACAAGUUAUUUCUACCGCCACUACAAAAAAUGCGGUGAUUGGGCACACUAAUUUAGGCACAUUUUGUUUAAUUGUAGCGAAAAUGAGGGAAGGAGGAAAUUCUUGAAAGAUCUUAAUCACGUCACAAACUUUUUCUCUUAUUGCUUAAUUUUUUAAUUAGAAGCUGAAGAUCCAAAAUUCGACUCUCUCAUUUUCUCCCCCUACUUUUCUUACUCUUGAUUGUCCACAAGAACUAGAUUUCCCUAACUUUUUUCUAUUGGUUUCAUCCCCAUCUUCUUCCUCAACCUCCAUCGCGAGUUUGUGGUCGCUGACAAAGUCCAUUCGCAGCGUCACCGUGAGAAUCUUUGGAAUCGACCACUUUAAGAAUGUGAAACUAUAUUGAAUUCUUUCUGAGAUAUGCUCAAAUAAAUGGUUAUUUUCCAUGACAACUCGUAUUUCUUGAUACCAUCUGGUAUAUUUGUGGCAUUUGUUAUCAGGCAAACCAUCUUUUACUAAGAAACAAACAGAUCUGUUCUUCCCUCCGGACUUUGCUGAUGACUUUCCUGUAUCGAUGCAGAUUUCAAAUAAAUAUGGAUUGAUAUAUGUUAUCACAAAGCUUGGGCUUUUAUUUGUCUAUGAUCUGGAGACUGCAACAGGAGUUUAUAGAAACCGAAUCACUCCCGAUCCUAUAUUUUUGACAUCAGAAGCAUCAUCAGUAGGGGGUUUUUAUGCCAUCAAUAGACGUGGCCAGGUGUUGCCUUCUACUGUAAAUGAGGCAGCCAUUGUACCUUUUGUUAGCAGCCAGUGAGGAUUGACUAGUUGAUACUCUUUCUUCAUUGACCAAGGAGAUUCAGAGGAGCUCUUUCUAUUCUGCAGGGCUGUCUCUUGGGUAUCAUGUGAGUUGGGCCUCCUUUGUUAGAAGAAGAUAAGGAUAUGUGUAGACGUCGUAUGAAGGUGAACGGACAUUGUGGUUUAUGUGAUUGUGAUAGUGAGGAAUAUGGGCAGAUGCGGUGUGUGUGCAUAUCUUAACAACUUCACAUGCAGUCUGAGAUUUAGGCAAACCAUCUUUUACUAAGAAACAAACAGAUCUGUUCUUCCCUCCGGACUUUGCUGAUGACUUUCCUGUAUCAAUGCAGGAGUUUAUAGAAACCGAAUCAGUCCCGAUCCUAUAUUUUUGACAUCAGAAGCAUCAUCAGUAGGGGGGUUUUAUGCCAUCAAUAGACGUGGCCAGGUGUUGCUUGCUACUGUAAAUGAGGCAGCCAUUGUACCUUUUGUUAGCAGCCAGCUAAACAAUUUAGAACUUGCUGUUAAUCUUGCUAAAAGAGGAAACCUCCCUGGUGCAGAGGAAUUGGUAGUUAAGCGGUUUCAAAGGGGGCGAACCGGAGUAGUGGUAAAGCUGUUCCUUCAUGACUGAAAGGUCAUGGGAGUGGUUUUUUUGUUUUGGUUAAGCGGUUUCAAGAAUUAUUUGCUGAGACCAAAUAUAAGGAAGCUGCUGACCUUGCUCCAGAAUCUCCCCGAGGAAUACUUCGAAUUCCUGACACUGUUGCUAAAUUUCAGGUAUACUUCGAGCUCGGUGACCUUGUAAAGGUUCAGAUAGAAAUUCAAAUUGAUUCUCUUUUAGUCUCUUUAUCAUUUGAACGUAUUUAUUAACUUUUUUUAGGGUUGGGAGUAGGAAAAUACAAGCUGUUGCCUGUGAUCCCUGUCUCCUUUGCUCAUUGAAAAUUCUGGUCAUGAUUCAUAUAAAUUUAAAACUAAUUAUUACGAAGAAACAAAAGCAGUUUUUCUUUUUAUAAUUGGAAAUAGAGAACACUGUCAUAUAAAUAAACAAUAACGGCCCACCUCUUACACCCACUUCCUGGCUACUAGUGUGGUUUACUUUGAGGCUACAAAUAUUAUGUUCAAACUCUAGGCCCUGUUUGGAUGAGCUUAUUAAAAUAGCUUUUGAAACCCAAAUAAUGUGUUUUGGGCGUAUUUUCAUUAGCUAUAAAUUGAAGCUUAAGAAAAUAAGCCGUUGCAAAAGCUAAAUACAGCUUUAGGAGAUAGUUUAUCUUUGGGAGAGGUUUAAAACCUUAAUCUUGGACCCGCUCUGAAUCGGACUAGUCACGAAGUGAUGAACCGAUUGGAAUAUUUUCAAAAAAAAAGAAGCUUUAGGAGAUAGUUGUAUCUGCAUUAAGUUUUGGUUAAAUUAACGUUACCAAAUUAUCAAAAUUUCAUUGCUAUUUAAGCACUUAUUGAAGUAUCUAUCCAGACACUAUUUUGACUUAUUUAGUUGGACUGCUGUUAUGACUGUAGAGCUUAUUAAAUAAGCUAUACUGAACUCAGUACUUCUUUAAGUUGUUUAUCCAUACAGGAGUUUAGUUUAUCUCCCCUUCUUUGGAUUUUUUACUUUUGAUGCUUGGAUUUCCAUGUAUGUAAGUACUCACAAGCAUACGCUCUUGCACACAGAACAUACAUUUAUUUAUGUUACUGCAGGGGGAAGUAAAUUCUAUUCAGUUUUCAUUAUAUUUCUUUCAUCUGUCCUCCUAAUGUUAUGAGACAUGCAUAUAAUGCAGACAGUGGAUAAUGACCUUGCCUUGAAAAUAUAUAUCAAAGUCAAGGCCACACUUUCCCUUGUGUGUAAAUAUGCUAUGUUUUUCUACACUUUCCCUUUUGGAGUGACUUUGUAAAGAACAGAACAUCUUGUAAAUCACUUAUUUCUUCAUUAAUGGUUGUGUUUCAAGUUGCAAUAGUGGUGGAGCCAGAGAGAGGUUACGAGGGACCUUUUGUAUUAUACCAUAUUCAGACUAAAGAUAAAAGUAAUGUAAUAUAAAU